rnacentral:lncRNA from 1 species
AAGCUAUAUAUAAUCCCAGUCUAUGUUUACUGUCUUCCAACCCAACCCAAAAUUUUUGUAUGUUUCUCAGUGACUAUGUAUCUGAUGUCCUUUUUAUUUCCAGUUUCAAAGUAUUAUAUAUGUUUAUGUAUUAAUCCAUGCAAGUGAAGAAGAGAGAGGGCAUCAUUUCCUAAUGUUGCCUCAAAUGACAAAAUAUCUAGAUCCAGCAUUAGCACUAAUCUCGCAUGCACACACGCAAUUGAAAAAAUUUGAUAAACACACACACACACACACACACACACACACACACACACGUGUGUGCUUAUCAAAUUUUUUCAAUAUGUUGUUUCAGUCAUUUAAAUGCACAAAUUCUUCUGAUACAAAAUGUACUGGAAGAAGGGCAAUAUGGUUUUCACUUUAUUCUCAUAUUUGAAUGAGAAUAAAAAGCUUUAAAAGAGAGAGAGAGAUUUUGAUUUAUCUCCAAUCAUUGUGGUGCACCC